rnacentral:rRNA from 1 species
CGGCGGACGGGUGAGUAACGCGUGGGUAACCUGCCUCAUACAGGGGGAUAACAGUUAGAAAUGACUGCUAAUACCGCAUAAGCGCACAGUACCACAUGGUACGGUGUGAAAAACUCCGGUGGUAUGAGAUGGACCCGCGUCUGAUUAGCUAGUUGGUGGGGUAACGGCCCACCAAGGCGACGAUCAGUAGCCGACCUGAGAGGGUGAUCGGCCACAUUGGGACUGAGACACGGCCCAA